rnacentral:lncRNA from 1 species
UUGGCACUUGUGAAGGCUGUCAUCAUCCUGGAAGUCAUCACAGAAAUGACUCAUUUUGUCGACCCUUGGUAUGAUUUGCUUCCUUCCAGCCUGCUUUAUGGCUCAGAGAGGAACAUAAGGAUAAGCUCCUCUCAGAACAAUGAGUAUGAGAAAUGGUGCGUCUCGAGAUCGAACAAUGAAUUCUUCCGUAGGAAACCACUCGACCAUCCACUGCACUUGGUCUUCUUUCAGAUUCUCAAAUAACUCUACCCAUCCUCCAGCGUCCUCUGGCUGAGCGAACAUAUUAGACAUAUAAUUCAUACGCCUUGGCUGGUGGAAGGCGAUAUGGUCAUCCCAGUUUCUGUGUAGGAUCUCUUGCCGGUAAUCACCCUUCUGAAGGUGCUCAGUGAGCCAAAGCUAAAGCAGUAGGUUGCACCUUUCAAAAUGUUUAGCCCCUUGUUGACACUUUUCUAGGGCUCGGUACAUCUUAGCAACGAUCGUAGGAACUAUAUUGAAAGGCUAUCCACCAAUCCCUUCCAUCAAAGCCUUGGUUACUAUGGCCAGUCUGGUGUGGAUCCUAGCCUUCUUCAUUGGGAACGCUAUUAUCCCGGGAAAUAAAACAUGAAUACAAAGACCUUUCUAUGAAUAUGCCCUAACGAGGUGAGGGUAAAUUCGUCUGAGUAUG